rnacentral:rRNA from 1 species
AUUGAACGCUGGCGGCAUGCCUUACACAUGCAAGUCGAACGGCAGCACGGGGCCACCUGGUGGCGAGUGGCGCACGGGUGAGUAAUGCAUCGGAACGUACCUUUCAGUGGGGGGUAACGUAGCGAAAGUUACGCUAAUACCGCAUAUUCUGUGAGCAGGAAAGCAGGGGAGCGCAAGACCUUGCGCUGAUUGAGCGGCCGAUGUCAGAUUAGCUAGUUGGUGAGGUAAAGGCUCACCAAGGCGACGAUCUGUAGCGGGUCUGAGAGGAUGAUCCGCCACACUGGAACUGAGACACGGUCCAGACUCCUACGGGAGGCAGCAGUGGGGAAUUUUGGACAAUGGGGGCAACCCUGAUCCAGCCAUGCCGCGUGAGUGAAGAAGGCCUUCGGGUUGUAAAGCUCUUUCGGCCGGGAAGAAAUCGCACGGGCUAAUACCCUGUGUGGAUGACGGUACCGGAAUAAGAAGCACCGGCUAACUACGUGCCAGCAGCCGCCGUAAUAC